AGACCGCGCACGCGUCAUCCAGCCCGCCGAGCGGUCCGCCGCUCGGCCAAGUCCUCGACAACCUCCUCUCCCCGGAGCGGGGGCUCGGGGUAAAAGAACCCACGGCGCCGAAGGCGUCAAGGAACACUGUGCCUAGCUCGGGGACGCGGCUGGCUUGCCGGCCGCACCCCCUGCUGCAAUGCUAUUUAAUCCACACGACUCUCGGCAACGGAUAUCUCGGCUCUCGCAUCGAUGAAGAACGUAGCAAAAUGCGAUACCUUGGGUGAAUUGCAGAAUCCCGUGAACCAUCGAGUUUUUGAACGCAAGUUGCACCCGAGGCCUUCUAGCUGAGGGCACGCCUGCCUGGGUGUCACGCCAAAAGACACUCCUAACCCAUCCUUGGUGAAGGACGUGGUGUUUGGCUCCCCGUGCUGCAUGGUGCGGUGGGCUGAAGUUGGGGCUGCCGGCAUAUCUUGCCGAGCACCGCACGUGGUGGACGACACCUGCUUGUUCUCGGUGCAGUGUCUCGGCAUGCAUCUGGCUUAUUGGCCUUAAGGACCCAUACAAGACCGUA
rnacentral:misc_RNA from 1 species